CAAACAGAUAGAGGUUGCAACCAACAUGAGUAGCUUGAUCGAGCGGGAUCCUUCGUGAUGACAUCAAGCCAAAGGGGCGGUGCCGAAAUGGGGGCGCCGGGAUCGGCAAACCUGUUGGGCCAGGAUUGAAUAAGUCCUGUACUGUCGCUUAGAAACCUAAGCGGGGCGCUAUCAUUCAA
rnacentral:ncRNA from 2 species